rnacentral:rRNA from 1 species
AGGGUUUGAUCAUGGCUCAGAUUGAACGCUGGCGGCAGGCCUAACACAUGCAAGUCGAGCGGUAGAGAGAAGCUUGCUUCUCUUGAGAGCGGCGGACGGGUGAGUAAUGCCUAGGAAUCUGCCUGGUAGUGGGGGAUAACGUCCGGAAACGGACGCUAAUACCGCAUACGUCCUACGGGAGAAAGCAGGGGACCUUCGGGCCUUGCGCUAUCAGAUGAGCCUAGGUCGGAUUAGCUAGUUGGUGAGGUAAUGGCUCACCAAGGCGACGAUCCGUAACUGGUCUGAGAGGAUGAUCAGUCACACUGGAACUGAGACACGGUCCAGACUCCUACGGGAGGCAGCAGUGGGGAAUAUUGGACAAUGGGCGAAAGCCUGAUCCAGCCAUGCCGCGUGUGUGAAGAAGGUCUUCGGAUUGUAAAGCACUUUAAGUUGGGAGGAAGGGUUGUAGAUUAAUACUCUGCAAUUUUGACGUUACCGACAGAAUAAGCACCGGCUAACUCUGUGCCAGCAGCCGCGGUAAUACAGAGGGUGCAAGCGUUAAUCGGAAUUACUGGGCGUAAAGCGCGCGUAGGUGGUUUGUUAAGUUGGAUGUGAAAUCCCCGGGCUCAACCUGGGAACUGCAUUCAAAACUGACUGACUAGAGUAUGGUAGAGGGUGGUGGAAUUUCCUGUGUAGCGGUGAAAUGCGUAGAUAUAGGAAGGAACACCAGUGGCGAAGGCGACCACCUGGACUAAUACUGACACUGAGGUGCGAAAGCGUGGGGGAGCAAACAGGAUUAGAUACCCUUGCUA